rnacentral:lncRNA from 1 species
GGUGGGGUCUAUAAUGGGCUUCUAUGGGGGGGUCUAUAUGGGGGGGUCUAUAAUGGGGUUCUAUGGGGGGGUCUAUAAUGGGGUCCUAUGGGGGAGGUCUAUAUGGGCUGAUCUAUAAUGGGGUUCUAUGGGGUGGGUCUGUAAUGGGGUUCUAUGGGGUGGGUCUAUAAUGGGGUUCUAUGGGGUGGGUUUAUAUGGGGUGGGUCUAUAUGGGGUUCUAUGGGGGGGUCUAAAAUGGGGUCCUAUGGGGGAGGUCUAUAUGGGCUGAUCUAUAAUGGGGUGUCUAUGGGGUGGGGUCUAUAAUGGGGUUCUAUGGGGUGUGGGUUUAUAAUGGGGUUCUAUGGGGUGGGUCUAUAAUGGGGUUCUAUGAGGGGGGGUCUAUAAGUGGGGUCUAUGGGGGGGUCUAUAAUGGGGUUCUAUGGGGGGGUCUAAAAUGGGGUCCUAUGGGGGAGAUCUAUAUGGGCUGAUCUAUAAUGGGGUUCUAUGGGGUGGGUCUAUAAUGGGGUUCUAUGGGGUUGGUCUAUAAUGGGGUUCUAUGGGGUGGGUCUAUAUGGGGUUCUAUGGGGGGGUCCAUAAUGGGGUGUCUAUGUGGGUUCCUAUGUGUCCCCCUUUAGGGCUGUCUGUCCUCCUGCCACCAGGGGGCGCCGUUGGGUCCCUUUGUAUCCGGGCGCUGGUUGAGUCCUCCAGGCCUCCACGAGGCCCCGUGCUACGAGGCGGCCACAGGCUGGCUGAGGAGCUGGAGCGGAAGGCGGAAGCGGAGGCCGUCUCUAUGGGGCGGCCAUGUUGGGCCGGGGCCGGAAGUGACGUCGAUCUGGGGGUCAGGAUGAUCCGGGCGGCGGCGGCGGCCAUUACUGCCCCUCCCCCACAGCUGGAAGGGAGGGGGGCCAGGGGUGAGGAGGGGGGGGGCAAGAUGGCGGCGGUCACGUGAUCAGGGGUGAGGAGGGAGGGGCAAGAUGGCGGCGGUCACGUGAUCAGGGGUGAGGAGGGAGGGGCAAGAUGGCGGCGGUCACGUGACCAGAGGUGAGAAGGGGGGGGCAAGAUGGCGGGUAGUCACGUGGUCAGGGCCCCUCCACCAAUAGCUGGAAGGAGGGGGGGAAUUCAAGAUGGCGGUGGUCACGUGGUCAGGAGUGACGAGGGGGACAAGAUGGCGGUGGUCACGUGAUCAGAAGUGAAAAGAAGGGGCAAGAUGGCGGCGAUCACGUGGGCCCUCGAGUGGUUGGGGGUGGCAAGAUGGCGGUGGUCACGUGGUCAGGGCCCCUCCACCAAUAGCUGGAAGGAGGGAUGUUCAAGAUGGCGGGUGGUCACGUGAUCAGGGCUCCUCCACCAAUAGCUGGGGGGUCAAGAUGGCGGAGUGUCACGUGGUCGGGGUCCUUCCACCAAUAGCUGGAAGGGAUGGGAGGCAAGAUGGCGGGUGAUCACGUGGUCAGGGCUCAUCCAAUAGCUGGGGGCGCGGGGGGGGGGCAAGAUGGCGGAGGGUCACGUGAUCAAGGCCCCUCCACCAAUAGCUGGAAGGAGGGGGAUUCAAGAUGGCGGGGGUCACGUGAUCAAAGUCUUUCCACCAAUAAGUGGAAGGGAGAAGGGUGCAAGAUGGCGGUGGUCACGUGGUCAAGGGUUUUCCACCAAUAGCUGGAAGGGAUUGGAUUAAAGAUGGCGGGUGAUCACGUGAUCAAGGCCCCUCUAGCAAUAGGUGGAAGGGGGGCAAGAUGGCGGGUGGUCACGUGAUCAGAGUCCCUCCACCAAUAGCUGGAAGGGAUGGGAUUCAAGAUGGCGGGUGAUCACGUGAUCAAGGUCCCUCCACCAAUAGGUGGAAGAGAUGGGAGGCAAGAUGGCGGUGGUCACGUGAUCAGGGCUCCUCCCCCAGGAAGGGGGCAAGAUGGCGGUGAUCACGUGAUCAAAUUCCCUCCACCAAUAGCUGGAAGGGAUAGGAG